AGUUCAGGGGUCAGGCAGUAUAGGGGCUAAGUGGUUGUGACCUUUACAGCUCAGGCAAAUACAGAUGCCUCAGUUAGCUGUAUGAUACAUGGAGUUCUGUGACUGAGUGUUCUCUGACGGGCUGUCUGUAUGGUUGCCAUGCCAACUGGAUGACGUUGGUGUGCGGUAGAUGGGGACGUUGUGUAUAUUUGCUGAGAUAUUUUUCAUUUUUUUUAAUGCCAUUGUUUUUUUAAUGCCACCAAUGAACUGCAGUCUGCCUGUUUUGAAAGACUUAAACAUUCUGUCAUGUUUUCUAACAUGUUUUAUGGUCCUUUAUUUCUGCAGUCUUUUGACUGGCUUACUUCAAAUAUACCAAAAAUAUUUGUUAAAACUAGUGCUGUUUAUUGUCAGUGUAGCUUAGCCUAGUCCUAAUAUUUAUGAGUACAAAAUCUCUCUCUCUCUACACACACAACAGGAGAUGAAAUGCAAUAUGUUGAUGAUCACUUUCCAAAGACAAACGUAUUUUUAAAUUUGACUAUGGCUCUCCCAGCUCAGCUUUAAAGUAGCAGGGCAAAUAACCAAAAAGAAAGGGAUGGGAAGAUGGGAGGUCAGGUGUCUCCCUGAAUAAUGUUCAUAUAUUUGAGGGGUGUUUAGGUUUGAAUGGUAGCGGUUAUAUGAUAUCAAUGGGUGCUUAUCCUCUAGGCUCGGUCUCGUUUCUCUACAUGUUUCCACCUAUGAUGAUAUGGCAGACUGUCCGGACCCUUUCUAGACUGGCAUAUCCGAUGGGCAACAGUUUGGACUGUAGUCAGGCUUUCAAUAGUCUGGUAAGGGCUGUCCAUUUUGAGUUUUUCUACUAAUCCUCAGCCAUGAAAUAAAAAGCUUGAACCAAAGUCGUUUUCUCACUAGCUGCUGUGCCUGUGUGAGCCAGCAAGUGCUGUUCACACGAUCACUAUUUUACAUAAUACUACUACUGACAAGUUUUCUCCUCUUAAACCCACCUGUGUGCAUCCCCCACCUCUAACCCGCUUCUAAGGAACAAGGAUAUUUUGGCUUUAAUGACCAGCUGCUUUAACUUAGAAUGGAGGCAAAUGUUCUUCGUGUUUUCUUCUUCUGGCUUUGUGACCACAUCCUGUUAGCAGGUCUCGAUUUCUUGUGGUUGAAGCCUUCUCUCCUUACCCUCAAUGCCCAGCUAGCUUUACUAUGGGGAGCUCAUCCACUGGCAGCACCAGUAAAGACGUUUCGGACCAAGAUCCUGACCUGUAACCAAGCAGCGUAGCCUCUGUGCUGCCCUUAUCGAACUGCCCCUUUUCAGCACACAGCAAUAGUGUUGUUCUGUCGGCCCUAACAUAACCAGAUUAAUGACUGCCUAGUUUGAAAGCAGAGAAUUGGCUCCACGCUGUUCAGUUUUUGUGCUCCUUUUUCACCCGUGAAUUACUUUGACUAAAUACCUCAGCAGCACUUAGACAUUAGGUUCUCUAAGAAAUCUGACACCCGCUGAAUAUUAUAGAAUGUACAAGAACUGUAUGGCUGAAUUGUACAAGAUGGCAAAAAAGAGUUAUCGUUAUCUCAAACUAGGACAAACUACUACUGCUGUUUUCUAGUACUACUACUUAUGGGUAUUUCCAGGUUUUAACAGUUUAACAUUAUUUUGUGAUCCUUCUUGCCAAAGCAAAGCGAAAGCCUUUCUCUCUGCGGCUGGGUUGAUGUCUCCAUGCUGCUCACUUGGCUGGUGUUCUGUCCGAAUGGGACUUGUCGUUCUAUUUGUAGUCCUGUUUGUAGUCAUUCACCAGUCGUGAAGUGCGGUAGCUAGGUGAACCAGUGUCCAUUGGCACCAUUGGAAGUUAAUGAAAUAUUUAUCUGCGGAACGACUAAAGAAUAAGAGAAAAAAAGCUUUUUUUCUCUCUUCAUUCUAUACAUAUAUAUAUAUAUAUACACAACACAUGUAAGAUAUUCAUAUUUUAUAUUUGAACUAGUAUGUUAUCAAGACUGAAUGUGGUGUUUUGUCAUGCUUAUAUUCAAAAGACAAAAAAAUGUUUUUUUUUAUUAAUCAUAGCAAUUUUGAAAAACUUUCAAGACCAAAAACUUAGACCGCACCCCCUUGGUGCAUGAAUCACAGACACCUGUAGCCAUCACGUGUGGGUGUGGUCUGUUGAGUGGGAGGGGCUUGCUCUGGUGCUCCUAUUGGACAGUCCCCGUUUGUGCUGUUACUAGGGGAAACAGACUGAAGCGCCUAAUCUUUCAUUGUCUUUUUUGUCUGUGUGUUUGGUUUACUAUGGACUUGAUUUGCUGUGCUGUUUUUAACAAUUGUUUUAGAUUUUUUUUUAAAUUACAUAUGCCUUUAAUUGUUUUGUAUAGCACGAGAGGGCAAGAUCACUGGCUUCCUUAGUUUGACAAAAUAUGAAAAUGAUAAUUUACGCCUUAUCGUUAUUUAGAAGACAAAAGCAUUGUAGCAUAUGUUUGUGUGAGAGUAAUCUAGUGAGAAGAGGCUGCCUCCUCGCUAUCUUUUGUGUUUAGCUAGCCUACUCAGUGCAUAGUUCUUGGGCUUGUGCUGUUCUGGCACAGUUAUGUUGCUACCUAUGACUUUAGGGGUGACUUAGACAGGUGGCAAUACCUGUAGGAAAGGCUUUACUAUUAACUGAACUCCAGCAGAGGUGUGUGUGUGUGUGUGUGUGUGUGUGUGUGUGUGUGUGUGUGUGUGUGUGUGUGUGUGUGUGUGUGUGUGUGUGUGUGUGUGUGUGUGUGUGUGUGUGUGUGUGUGUGAGAAAGGAAGAGCUGACUGCAGACCACAACGGUGCAUUUGUUUUCAGCUUACAGAUAAAGUAUAAUGAUAAGAGCAUUCAAGGAAGAUGGGAAUGAGAAUAUGGAACAGUAGCUGAGUGUGUCAGUGAUCCAUUGCCUCUUUGUUGGUAUGCGAUGGUGCACCAGUGAAUCCUAUGGUUUGCUAUAUUUAAUUAUAACCUGUUGUGAUGGCUCAGUCAGUGGAUCCUUCAAACAUACAGGAUCUUUGUGCGUUAGAGUGGAUCCUCUUUGAUACAGUUUUAUUGUGUUUGGUGCCGUUGUGGAUCUGGAUGUCUCUCAGGUUUGUCUGAUGCUCUAGAAGUGGUUCUGUGUGGUGGGUGUAAAGGUUUAGUAAAGGGAGAGGGCAGCGAGACACCAGGAAGUCUGGGGUAACUAGCUUGGUUAAGGGAGCUGCUGUAUACCUCAUUUUUAGCUCAAGACUGAGUGAAACUUGCUUUAAAUCUACUUUAGUAAAGAAAAAUAUUAAACUUAAGAAAAAAACAAAAACAUAAACAACACCAAAAACACAUGGUCCUAUCAGAGAAGCUCACAAAUGUCUGUUUUAAGAGUACAGAGUGUCAUGACAGCUGCUGCCACCGGGGGGAGACAGGACAUACUCCAGCACUUAAGAAUGUCUGCUUCUCUUUAUUUUUUACAAGAACAACAUCAUCAUCGCUCACGCUAAACACACAGUGACCUCUCACACCUCCACCUCCUAUUAUAAUGCUGAAAGUAUACUCACAUUUCACUUUUUAGUAGUAUGUACUUGAUUUAUCCCAAUCUUAUUAUGUUUUCUAUGAUUUGACAAUCCUGUCCUUUUUUAUAUUCUUAUUUAGAUUGUAAAUGUAGAUGUUGGUGUGUCUACUCACCUGGUGGUGCACUGCCUCGCUGCACUCUCUUUCCUGUGGUAAUGUUAACCAAAGACUUCCAAAGUGAUUGUAUAUGGACUAGACCAUCUCUCACCCCUCCGCCUCAUCAUCCCACGAGAAAAGACAUGCAGCUGUGCUCACACACGCUCUUCCCUGAGCACCUGUAAUGUCGAUACGCCUGUAUGGCAGAGCUGUGUGUGCGUGCGCGCUGCGGACACAACAGGCACCUGUAGCAGGGCCUGUGGGGGAGGAUAGGUAGAGUUUCGAGGGGCAAAGUGAGGUUCUCUGAUAGACAGAUCAAUUAUCCAAUCCCGUGAUGGCUGGGUGAUGUUUGUUAAUACACAUUGAGGGUGCAUCCUGUGCACGCUGUAAAGGCUCAGGAGUCACUUUUUCUGUCCCUCUGUCUGUCUCUGUCUGUCUCUGGGACUGUUGCUAGGACACACCUUUUCCGUCUCAAAGACGGUCACAAAAAUACACGGUUUCUGCUUCUUUGGAUACAGUGCAUCUGUCUGGCUCCCUAUCUGUGUAUUGUAGUUGCCAGGAUACAUUGUCUCUAGGAUACAAAUUCUCUGGUUCUUUCUCUCUGUCUCACCACUGUUUUCUUUCUUUCUCUGUGUCUCUCUCUUGCUUCUUUCUCCUGCUGUGACACUAUGCAUCAUGGUCCUUCACUACACAUGGCCUGAUUGGCUAAGCUCUUUGGUCAAUGGAGUCCCAGGGAAACGUUAUAUGAUGCUUUAUUCCAAGUGGGGGAGUUGUAGGAUCUCACAAGCGCUAUCCCAAAGCAAAAAAUAUCCAAAUAAUGUUUGACAAACGCAGAUACCAAAGAUAACUCUCUCUGUCCUGUCACUCUCUCUUUCUCUCUCUCUCCCUCUUCCUCUUUCUCUCACCCUGCAGCUUGUGUAUUAAGAGAUAAACCCAGCACUGGCUUUAGCCCUAGCCCCAGUAAUUCCAAAGCUUAGAUGUAUAUUUUGGUAUAUUUCUGAGAAAUCUAAAUGGGGAAAAAAAGUAUGUUGUUUUAAAACAACAAUCUUGUCUGUUUGGUGUAUCGAUCUUUUUCUGUCACAGCAUGGAACUAAUUGCAGAAUUGUCUUACUCUUGGUAGAUUAAAGAUAUAGUAUUUUUGUAUGUUUUGGGGUGUGUAAAAAAAUUCUGUGUGUGUGAAUAUAUCAGUUAACACGGCCCAAGUGUCAAUGGUUUAAAAAAGAAAACUAGCAGAAAAAUACAAUAAAAACAAAAGGUCAACUUGUAAAUAUUACUUCUGUUUGUGGAUUUUUGAGAAAUGCAUUCUGUAAAAUCAUUGAUAAUUCUCCCUCUGUAAACCAAGCUUGGGCUAAACUAAAGGAAUGUGCCCCUUUUAUCUUCUGACUAGUUUUUCCUCUGAGUACACCAUCUGUCACUCUAGAACUCUGGGAGCCAUGCUGCCGUUGUGACUCGCGGUUCCACUGUUACAUCAUGGACUAGAACACUGCUCACUGUUGCCACGGGGACACAUGCCUCAUAUCCAACUAAGAACCCCCCCAGACAUGGCGGUUGGCAGCAUAUAGAACUAUAAAGAUUGUGUAGAACAUUAAGUAUGUGAAUCAGGAUACAUGGUAGAUUUGAUGCAUUUGUCUGCUGUAUUUUUGUUUUAGUUUUUUAUAUGUAUAUAAAGAUGAAUCUUUUACUGUAACUGUACAGUUCUCUUUUGUUGUAAAUGUCAUUAAACCAUUUUCCAGGUGUUUUAACAUUGGAA
ensembl:lncRNA